UACGGGGGGGGGUAAGCGUUGUUCGGAAUUACUGGGCGUAAAGGGCUCGUAGGCGGCCAACUAAGUCAGACGUGAAAAUCCCCUCAGCUUAACUGGGGAACUGCCGUCUGAUACUGGAUGGCUUGGAUUCGGGAGAGGAAUGCGGAAUUCCAGGUGUAGCGGUGAAUGCGUAGAUAUCUGGAGGAACACCGGUGGCGAAGGCGGCAUUCUGGACCGAUAUUGACGCUGAGGAGCGAAGCC
rnacentral:rRNA from 1 species